CCAGAGAAUUUAGCAGAGAUGCUUUAGUGCCUUCGGGAACUCUGAGACAGGUGCUGCAUGGCUGUCGUCAGCUCGUGUUGUGAAAUGUUGGGUUAAGUCCCGCAACGAGCGCAGCCCUUAUCCUUUGUUGCCAGCACGUAAUGGUGGGAACUCAAAGGAGACUGCCGGUGAUAAACCGGAGGAAGGUGGGGAUGACGUCAAGUCAUCAUGGCCCUUACGAGUAGGGCUACACACGUGCUACAAUGGCGCAUACAAAGAGAAGCGACCUCGCGAGAGCAAGCGGACCUCAUAAAGUGCGUCGUAGUCCGGAUUGGAGUCUGCAACUCGACUCCAUGAAGUCGGAAUCGCUAGUAAUCGUAAAUCAGAAUGUUACGGUGAAUACGUUCCCGGGCCUUGUACACACCGCCCGUCACACCAUGGGAGUGGGUUGCAAAAGAAGUAGAUAGCUUAACCUUCGGGAGGGCGUUUACCACUUUGUGAUUCAUGACUGGGGUGAAGUCGUAACAAGGUAAGCGUAGUGCU
rnacentral:rRNA from 1 species